rnacentral:rRNA from 1 species
AUGUUUGAUAGCUUGCUCAACUCCAAGUUCCACAACAAAUGCAAGCACGCGAUCAAAUGCACCCGGACCCGGCUGGAUCUGGUGCGCAAGAAGAAGCAGGCCAUGGUGAAGUUCCUGAGGAAGGACGUCGCCGACCUCCUCACCAAUAACCUUGAAUCGCACGCCUUCGGACGGAUGGAAGGGCUGAUUGUGGAGAUGAACCAAGCUUCCUGCUAUGACAUGAUCGAGCAGUAUUGCGACUACAUAGGGAAGCAGCUCAACAACCUGCAGAAACAGAGUGAAUGCCCUCAUGAAGCCUUGGAAGCUGUGUCAACUCUGAUUUUCGCUGCUGCUAGAUAUCCUGAUUUACCUGAACUGUGUGAACUCAGACAUGUAUUCACAGAGAAAUAUGGGGCUUCCAUUGAACCUUUUGUUAGCUCUGAGUUUGUUCAGAAGCUUCAGAACAAAUCAUUUACUAAGGAGGAGAAGUUGCAAGUGAUUGAAGAUGUUGCUGAAGAAUUUGUGAUCCCGUUUAAUACCAAGACAUUUGAACAACAGAUAUCUGGUGUACCUCCAACUAAAAAGGAACUUCUAAAGAAGGGUUCAUUCAACGGCGUAGAGGUUGAAGUAUCAGGGCGCAAUGGACACAGGGUAGAUAAGCAUGCUGUGCUUGACAGGAAAUCUAAAUCUAUACCUGAUAAGCGUGAAUGGAAGCAGGAAUUUCAGAUAAAACCAAAAGAUAUUCAUGUUGUUCCUGAUUACAUUGGUCAAGUUGGUGAGAAAAGCAGAAAGAACUAUUCAGAUAAACCUGUUGAGAAGAAACAUUUGGAUAGUGAUGUGCCUUCUGUGGACAUGAAGCGACGGAAUGGUCAUGAAAAGGAGAUCAACAAGGACGAGAAAAAGGGCGGUCAGUCUUGGAGGGAACUGAUGAAUGCAGAGGAGCUGGAUCUUAAUGGCUCAAAGAAGCAGGAGGUUGCCAUGGCAAAAUCUGUUCAAAGAGAAAUGAAGAAAAUAGUUCCUCCAUACACAGACCUAAAGGUAACUGAGGAGAAAGAUGGCACCGAAAAGGCAAAUGGCAAAGGCUACCAUCGGACCCACAUGGCUGGUGGCACUGAUCAUAACUGGGGACAUGCUGACUUGGGGCUUAAAACCCUGGGCCUGGAAAAGCAAGAAACUGAAUCAGCUGGUACCUUGAAUGGCAAUGGCAAAACAGUAAACAAGGUUCCUCCAUAUUCUAAGCCGUACAGAGCGACUAGCGAGAAAUCUGCUGAAGAAGAUAAUAAUGGUUUGUAUAAUCGGGCACGACAUCUGGAAGAGUUUGGACAGCCGGUGCAAGAUAGGCAGCAAAUGCCAGAGAAGCUAGUCAACAUGCGGCCUCCCUAUGUGAAGCCAAACUCUAGCAUGAAGCCCGCGCAUGAAAAUCCAACAGAUCAAGCUGCUAAUGGUUACAAGCUCAACGGCUCGGAAGCAACGGGUCACCGGAGAGACGGUCUGGUCGACGAUGAUGGUGCACCUCGGCCCGUUUCCGUCAGAAGGAAAAGUUCAAGGCCACCAACACACGGUUCUUUGCACGACGAGGCGACCAAUGAUGAAAAGGUGACAAACCAAACCCCUGGUGGCCGAACAAGGCGUCCAAGCAGCAGGAAUGGCUCCCAAGACGACCAUGAGCGACGAAAGCACUCGAGCAGGCGUAACGGGUCGACAAGCGGCAGUGACUACCAGACAGAGGAGGAUGAGACUGACACUGCGAUUGACUUUGGCAACCUCUUGCCCCGAGCGCCUCGGAAGCACCGGAGCAGGAGCGCUCAUCCCCGUGAAGGAGGAGGGCACGACGACGAAGAGAGGAUGAUGGAUAAGCUUCUGAGACACUACAGCAAGAAGGGGAUGGAGAGGGAGGAGCACAAGACGAGGUCGAAGUCCAGGACCCCUCGGCCUCGAGCAGAUCAACCUGCUGAUGGCAACAACAGAGAUGGAGCGCCCAGUCAUCCAGAGAGAACCGCAUCUCUGCCUACAGAAUCAGGUUCACCGGUGGGGAGGACGAAGGCUCCUGCCCCUGUUCGGUCCACCUCGCUGCAGCAGGACACGUCCAGGGGGAACGUGCACCCGAAGAUGCCGGAUUUCGACGAACUGGCUGCACGGAUCAGCGCCAUGAAGAGGGCAUGA